CCCUGGUUAACACAGUUGGUAGAGCGCUCCACUGGAAUUGGAGAGGUCCCGGGUUCGAUACCCGGACCAGGCG
rfam:Ixodes scapularis strain Wikel colony gcontig_1108379434140, whole genome shotgun sequence.